CUCAGUUUGCGGAGGGCUGAGCCCCUGGUGGGGCGGUCUGGAGGUGGGGACUCGGCAGAGUGAGCAGAAUUCAUCUGUCUCCGUGGCCGGGAGCUCGUGUGGCCGCCCAAUCUCUGACUGGCUCAGCUCACUGAUCACCCGUGUCUAGUCUAGUCUUGGCCCUCCCUUGCCUGCUUUCCACCCUCAAUCCCCCAUGGUCUGGGGAUUCCUGGGGACCGCAGGCUUCACGGUCAUUGCAGUGGAGGGGGGCUCCCCGGCCCACAGAGGUCCUGCCUUCCCAGCGUCCCCUGCUCCCCUGGGAAGCCUUUCCGCCCUGGAUCAGCUGCCUGGUGACCUGAGUGUUCUUCCCCACCCGGCGGGACAAGAGGGCGGGCCCUGAAAAUACUCCCAGCCCCGAGGGCAUCCCACCAUGAUGGCAGCAGGAGGAAACCUGUGCCCCAGACGGGCAAUAGGCCGUCUGGGCUUGGGUGGGAGGCAGAGACUGGCCCGGGCUGCUGCUCCAGGAGCGGAGACCAGGCCUGGGUAAUGGUGCCCUGAGCUGGGAUGGGAUCCCCCGUGCCUGAGAGUUGUGGGAGUUCUGUUGCUUGGUCUAGUGGUCGGGCUCCCCUAGGCCCAUGAGCAAGGAGAGGACGGCGGUUACACGUGAGGAAAGCAGAGACCAGAAGCCACGACGUUUUGCAGGCCCUUCGGGGAUGAGAAGCUGGCGCAGGUCCACGGGAGGUGUGGGGAGGAGUGUGGUAGGGGAUGGGUGGCCUGGCCUGCUGCGUUUGGGGAGGGAGAGCCCAAAGUGACCUGCCAGUCCGCUUUCCAGGAACAGUGUAGGUGGGCCCCCCGUGGCCAGUGGGCCCCUCCCAUCCUGCCUGGGCCGUGGCAGGGGUAGGAGCAAGUCUAGGGCAAGGGCAGGACGAGUGGGGCCGGGGAACAUCGCUGAUCCUUGGGACCUCCCAGGAGGGAGCAAGCCCAGGUUCAGAGGUGAGCCCGGUAACGCACCCUAGCCUGACCCCCCCCAUCCACGGAGCCCUUCUACAGGGAAGGAAGCAGAUGGGGGUCCCAUCGUACAGAUGGAGAAACCCACGUGCAUGGCCGGGUCCAAGCCCUGCUCCUUCCGCCUGGAGCCCAGGUAGUAGCUCAGGUCACGAUUUCGUGGUUCGUGAGUUCAAGCCCCACGUCGGGCUCUGCGCUGACAGAGCGGAGCCUGCUUGGGAUGCUCACUCUCUCUGUCUCUCCGUCUCUCUGUCUCUGCCCCUCCCCUACUCUCUCAAAAUAAACUUAAAAAAAAAAAAAGGCCUUUGAAAACUGGAGGGUUUGUGCUCAGGGCACGCGAAGCUAGGGCUGUAGCACGUGUCACGGGAGGCUCCUUGCGUCCUCACGACCCUCCCGUUACCAUCACCACCAUUUCCCAAGGAGAGGCAGACCUGGAGGGAGAGAGGCCCGCCAGGGCCACCCUGCCGUGCUCUUGAAUAACUCCUAGCGGAGCACAUAGGAAGGGAAACCAGCCUUUGGAGGCAGGUCGGUAAUGAGCCACCCUGGGAACGUGCUCGGCCCUUCCGGGGCCCCUCACCUCCAUCCAGGCAGCUGAGUCCCGCAGGUCCAUCGAGUUCUGGGCUUUGGGCAGCGUCUCUGCCGGCUGGCAUCAGUAGGGCUGGUCACGGGAGCGACUGCCGUCCCUGCGAGACGCACCUGUGUCAGGGGGAGGGGGCCGUGAAGCGGGGGCUCCGAAAAGGCGGAGGUGGCCUGGGGCGGCCUGGGUGGGCAGGAAGGGCUGGAGGAAGCACCCGGCCACCCCCACGGCUGCGCACAGCCGGGCCCAGGGCAGCUGAGGAAACGGGCUGAGGCGGAUGCACCUGUUAAGAGAGCGCAGAGCAAGCGGGGCUGGGUCAUCUGACGGAGGAGAUCCGAUACCCCCAGGGCCCCCCAGGGCGCCGCUCCGGCUGCUCGAGGCCCCCCAGGCUCCCAGCAGCCCUGGGGGAUGGCCCACAAGGUUCCCCAAGCCUGAGGUUUCCGUCUACCCUGUUGGCCCCCCGCCAGCUUUCCCUGCUUGCCUGGAUGGCUCUUGUGUUCGGGGGCACGAUGGGGGGCGUCCCCCGAAACAAGCUCUGGUGUGCACCCACAGCCUGGGCCAGGGGUCAGCCGGCUGCUGGCCCCCUGCUCACACAGACCCAGCCACCAGCCUGCAGACUGGGGCGCCAUUCGUUGACUCCGCCAUCCCCUCGUGCAGCCAGACCCAAACUCCUCUGUCCCCUUGUAUCUGUCACCAGUGCCAAGACCACCUCCCUGGUCUUCCCACCUGCCCCGUCAGUCUGUUUCCCAAUGUCCCAAGAUCGGGUCACUGCCCUACUCAGAAACCUUCUAUGGCUCCCUGCUGCCCUCCCCUUGAGCCCAGACUCCUCAAAGGGCCGUUUGCUACAACACAGCUGGUUUUCACCACAGCCCUCCUGCCGCCCUUCCUCCGGACUCCUACUCAUCCUGCCCACAUACAGCUCGGCCUCCGCCUCCUCCGGGAAGUCUGCCCUGAUCCCUCCUUCCCACCCCUGGGCUGAGUCUGGGCCUUGUGACCGCCCUGUGGGUGUCCCAUCAUGGCACUUACCGCUUCGGGGCCGCGUCUCCCCAGCUCAGCAUCUCAUGUGCUUGGGACCAGCCUGGGCACCGUAGGUGUCGAGCAGCACCCCCCCCGCCCCCCAAAUGUCCGCAGACCCUGUCUCCUCAGUCCCGACAGCCACAGGCGUCUCCAGGUGCUGCCGGGUGUCUGCCCACUGGGGACGGUCAUCCCAGCUAACCACCACGGCCUCGGGAGUUUGUAGCAGUCACGUGUCCACUGUGAGCAGCGACCAGACUGAGGGGCUUGAUGCAACCCAUGUUGACCGCACCACAGAUCAACACGAGUCUCGCUGGGCUACGAUGCAGGUGUGGACGGGGCUGGCUCCUUCUGGGCGCUCCAGGGGGAGUAAUCCAUUUCCUGCCUUUUCGGCUUCUAGAGGCCACUGCACUCCUUGGGAUGAGGGCCGCUUCGUCUCCAAAGCCGGCCGUGUAGUCUGCCGGUCUCUGGCUCCCCCGCCUCCCCGCUCCCCCGUGAGGACCCUGGUGGUGGCACUGGGCCCACCCGGGGAACCCCAGGGAAUCUUCCGUCUCCGGGUCCUGAACUGAAUCUCAUCUGCAAAGCCUCUUGGCCACGUUAGGUGCUGUAUGUCCAGGUUCCAGCGAUUGGCGUGGGGUCGUCUGCAGCCCCUCCGGAGAGGGGGUUCGUCUGGCCCCCACAUCUGAGGGCUUGAUCUCAUGUCUGUCUCCCCCUAGCUGUGGGUUGUGGGGGGACAGAAGCCCAGGCUGCCCCAAUGGUUGGACAUCGCCAGGCCUGAAACAGGCCCAGACCCUACUUGGACAUGUCAAAGACGGGAGCCCAGAGGGGCAACCAGCCUUGGUUGGUUCCCACAGACCAAGCAGCAGCAGGCCUCCCUCGCGCUACCGGUGUCCUACGCAGGUGGGCUGGACCUCCCUCCACACCUCCCCCGCCCUCCCCUCCCCGCUGCAAGACCUGGGAGCCACAGCAAGGGAGCCUGUGGACCACGUGAGGAGGCAGCACGGUCCCAGGUGCACACCUCGGCACCACACUGUGUUCUCGCCACCCCCCCCGCCACCCCCCCCCCCCCAGGAUGCAGUUCCACUCAGGAGACCCUAGGGGGUCAAAGCCACAGGGACAGGAAGUAGAAGGUGGGUGCUGGGGAGCAGCGUAUAAGGGUUUGUGUUUGGGAAGAUAGAAGGUUCUGUGGAUGGAGGUCAGUGGUGGUGGCACAACGGUGUGCCUACGCUAUUGCCACGGGCCUGUCUACGUUAAAAUGGUAAAUUUCACAUGAUGUGUCUUUCACCCGAUUAAAAGAAAAGCACAGCGGCCUGUUGAGCCAGGGGUGGGAAGCAGGGUGCGGGGGACAGAAAGCUCUGGCGUAAAUCAGAGGCCCCGGAGGAACAGGGACAAAACGGCCCAGGCUCAGCAGGCGGCAGGUGAGCACCACCAGCAGACUGCUUCCGGAAACCUUAACGGUCCCUUUAAAGCUGCCCCCGUCCGUCCUCCUCCCUCCUUCCCCGAAGGAAGAACCAUGACUAAGUAAGCAAUGCCGAGUAGGAUUCAACUUACAAAAACACGUGAAAUGAAGAGAGACGACGCUUUAAAUAAAGGGUAUGUGAACAGAAACACAUUUAUUACAAAAAAACAAAAACCAAAAAAAAAAAAAACAAAACACAAAAAAACAUUCACAUUGUAUUGAGCUACAAUAUGGCAGCAGAUAAAAAAAAUUAUUGUACACAGUUUAAGAGAAACUCCUAACAGAACAUACUCUUGUUGCCACGUGACAGAACACAGGAAUCCAAGCGCUUAGUAGCGGCGAGUGAAGCGGGUGUCGUUGGGGCGGCUCCCCCGGUUCUGGCCUCCGAAUCCACCCUGCAUUCCGCCGCGUGGGAUCACGUGGCCCCGCGAGGCCCCACCUGGGGCGAAGCUGCCGCGCCUACGACACGACACACACGGUUCCCAUGUCGUUCCCGGGACCGAGGGGCCCACCCUACACGCCCCUGUGUUCCGGGUGCAGCGCCUCCAGCGGGCAGAGGGAGGAGGUCGGUGGGGCGCCUCCCGGACCAUUUGCACACCGGUGGCCCAGGCGGGCCACCGUGCGGAGGGGAGAGGGCUGAGCUGGACGGGCGGCACAACACCUUACCCUGACAUCCCUCCCCGGUUCAUCAUGUGACCUGGCCCAGAGUGCCCGGACAUACUCCUUUCGCCACCUGCGAGACGAGAGAUGCCGGUCACACGGUGCCUCUGUGCACCAUGGAGCGCACGUGGAGCGCAGAGGACACCGACGCGGGGCUCCCGUGACUCCAGUACCCUUCCUGAGCCACCCAGUGGACCCAGACCCCGCGGAUGCACACGCCGGCCGUCCUCGCCGAGCGGCGGCAGAAAGGAGCUACCUGUGCCCACAUCGCUCUUCCCGUGCCAGACGGCUUCUGUCCAUUCCCCCUCCCUCCCCACAUCCAGCCAGUAAUGAGCAGGACCCCAAGGAGGGACAGCAGAGGAAGCCGUUCCCGCCCUCGAGAAGCAGGGAGACGAGCAAAGACGGGCGUAAAGCAGGUGGAGCCUGAGCCUUCCAGGUGCCCCCCCACGAAGACAGACACGUCCCCGGCUGAGAGCCAGUCCUCACCUUGCCACCUCUUGUGGUCCCUGUCUACCAUGCCUCCGUCAGCAGCACCCUGCCACGCACGGUCAUCCUCUAUUCUUCGGCCGUGGUCCCCCCAGUCACGUCUGCCCCUUAGGAAAAGAUGCCUCUGAUGUGGAUUGCCCCCUCUGCGCCUUGCAGAAUGGCA